GGCUGGUCCGGAGGUAGUGAGUUAUCUCAAUUGAUUGUUCACAGUCAGUUACAGAUUGAACUCCUUGUUCUACUCUUACCCCCCUUCUCACUACUGCACUUGACUAGUCUUUU
ensembl:misc_RNA Y_RNA Y RNA